CAAGGGAUGAAGUCAUGCUGGAUGCCUCAACAAGUGCCUGUUGUGCUGUGGUGUGAAUCACCCUCAGAGGCAGGAACCUGUAAUUUCCACAUGCAGAAUGUCCAAUUUCAAUGCAGUGAAAAGUGAGAGGGAGGAGAGCACCCCGGGCUGAAUCACUCACACACCAAAGUGCCAACAGGUACUGGCAGUGGUUACAGAGUGAGUUCCUACGUGGUCACAUCUAAGGAUCAUCACUGAGUUUCUGCUGUGCUUUUACAUCUCCAGUAACUUCCAGCCAGUGAAGGAGCAACAGCAAAAAUUCAUCUAAAGGCAUGUUUGUUCCAGUGGUUCACAACUGCCAGCUUUGGCUCCGGAGUGCUGAAGCAUCUGUUGAAUAUUUCCAUCCAGCUCCUGAACACCAGCUCAGUGCUGCCUUCCUGGCUGCAGGCACCAGGGCAGGGGAGGGAGCAGCUGUGUGCAAGAAGCACAACCCCAAUGUACCUGCAGAGUGCUGGGCUCCAGGGGAGGGAGGGCACCUUGACUGUUUGCAUUCAGGCAAGAAUCAUAAUAGGGGCAUCUAUUAAUUCAGUAGCACAAAACAGAGAGAAGGGAAAUAUCUGUCUUUUCAUGAAUUAAUGCUGGAUGUUGCUGACUAAAGCAGAAAGGAAGUGGAGAUAAGUUUUCCUUCUUAUUUCUGAAUUUAACAGGAAAAUCUGUUUGCACUUACCCAUAAGCUCAUGCACCGAGUUCUGUGUUCCAUGAAUAUAAUCCUGAGAAACACAGCUCCCUUUUGCACUGAAUCUGUCAGAUCUCAUUGAUUUUAACAGUUCCUGAGGAAAAGCAGCUCCUUGCUGGGCACAGAGUGAGUCCUGUCCCAAAGCAUGGGCUGGAACCUGAGCACAGGGCUGCUGAAAUAAGUACCUGAGAAGCAGCUAAAGCUAAGGGAAGUGAGUAAAACCAUAAACUAAUGGGAAGUGAUGACUGAAUAGGGAUAGAAUAGAGAAGCUAAAACUGAUGUGAUGUUGGAAAAUGAGACUUCCUAGUUAGGAUUCAAAUAUCUGUUACACAGAGUUUAAUGAAGUUUAUGCCCUGGCAGUGCUGUAUAAAUCUAGAGCAGAAGACAGAUUUAAUCCCAAUAAAUAUUUGUCAGGGAUUUAAUGUAGGAGAUAAUAUAACAAGCACUAUUAGACCUGGCACUGCAAUUUCCCAUUUUUACCAAGUUCUGUGGCUGCAGGGCUCAGUGGCUGGGCUCAGGUUUCUGUUCAUGGACCCCAGGCAGGCUCUGGAGCUUCUCUGGGGUUCUCAGCUCCUCUCUCCAUGCACUCUGAACCAGCUUUGCUCCCUCCCUGCAGAGAUGGCCACUGGAAAUGCUGUAACAGGGAGAUUUCCAUAACCUUCCUUUUAACAGAAUAGGCUAAUUUGACCUGCUGGUUCUGUAUGUUUUUUCUAUUCAAGAGCAGAAUAUCAUCAUCAACCUCCUCAGAGUCUAGCAGCUGCUGCCAAAACCAACUUCCUUUGCUGAGAGAGUGACCCACCCUGGUCCUGCAGCCCACUUCAGCCAGAAUCUCCAAAUGGUAGCUCAGGGAAUGCCUGUCCUCCACUUCCCAUCUUUUAUGCUUGGCAGAAUGAAAGUAAGAUACAUAAAAAAGGGUUUGAGCUCUGCAAAUGUGGGGAAACUUUUGUUACACUUAAGAACUUGGAAUGAAUGAGACAUCACUGAAUUUCUUUUCGUUUAUACAGAUUAAUUUAUAUUCUGUGGUUGGUUAGUGAGGUUGGUGUUUGAGGCCUUUGUGUGCAGUCUGUAGCAACUACCACCACACAGCAGAUGGAAAAUGCUUUUCAAGAAUACCCUGCUGCUCUGUCCUCAGAACUUUAGAUUUUCUAGGUCAUUAUAAUCAUUCCUGUGGCAAUUAAAAUGCUGGGAUUCGGGUACUUGGUUGUU